UACGGGGGGGGCAAGCGUUGUUCGGAAUUACUGGGCGUAAAGGGCGCGUAGGCGGCCUGCUAAGUCGGACGUGAAAUCCCCCGGCUCAACCGGGGAACUGCGUCCGAUACUGGCAGGCUUGAAUCCGGGAGAGGGAUGCGGAAUUCCAGGUGUAGCGGUGAAAUGCGUAGAUAUCUGGAGGAACACCGGUGGCGAAGGCGGCAUCCUGGACCGGCAUUGACGCUGAGGCGCGAAAGCCAGGGGAGCAAACGGG
rnacentral:rRNA from 1 species